rnacentral:lncRNA from 1 species
AUUCUGAGGGGCGUGGAUCACGUGAUGGGCAACCACCCCCGCUACAGGCUGGCGGUAGGGUGACGUCACCACCCUGCCUGCAGGGGGUGGCACUUCCGUUUUCUCCCCCCCCCCACCCCCCCCAGGGCUGCUGCUCCCAAGCUUCUGCACCCUCCUGAGGGUGGGCAAUAGUCUGAGGUCAUCAGGUGCUUUGGCAACAACCGGGAGUUAGGCAAUGAGGGCUAGGUCUGAAGCUCAAGCCGGGCCGCCCCUCGACGCGCCCCAUUGUGUGAGCAGUGGGCGAGGGCGGUGCCGGGUGCCGGGCCCCCCGCGGCUCCCAGCUCCAAAAGGGCGGGGAGGACUCUGUUCCGUCAAGGCGGAGUCUGGCCACUAGCUGGUUCCUGAGUCCAGACUUCGAGAUCCCAGCGACUAGGGUCUUACUCGCCUGACUAGCCCUCUGGGCGCCUGGUGGUUAGGAGCCAGUUCUAUGGCUCUGGUCCGUGGCCCAGCUUGAUGGGUGUGUGGUCAAUCUGUCACCACUGGAGCGACUCAAUUCCAGCAGUCCUUAAGAGCUAUUUUGAGUAAACUCUGGGUUUUGGUGACUCAGCUCGGUGAGCGGCGCUAUUUAUAGGUAGAUGAGUUAAGAGCGGGGAAAUACGCUUCGAUAGGAUCGGUCCGCCCUAUUAUAGCAAAGAUCUCUACUAAGAAGCAACAAUUUAAAGUCUUAGGAAAGAAAAAUACUUGGUUCUUAGAAUCUGUGUUGUAAGGAGAAGACUUAGAACAGUGAAAGUGGAACAUUUCCCGGAGUAAAUGGAGAAUUUGGGGACUGUCAUGACCAUUAACUGGCUUUUCGGUGUAGGUUACUGACUCUCCUAGACACCUGCAACAUAGAAUGCCCAUAUUAGAAUGAUAAAAGGGGAAACUAAAUGCUGGCAAAGUCCCUGCACUAUAUUCUGUAACAGGAAGGGAUGUGUGAUAUUUAUCUAGUGUCAAAAGUCUGGUCUGGUGGGAAUUUUAUGUUUAUCACCCAAUUUCUUCCAAGAAAGUACAACAAAAACGUGUGCUUUUCUUCCCUAGUGUGUAAAUGUGCCACUAGUACGUUAUUGCUUGUUGGGGUGUUAUGAUUUUAAUUUUCACAUUCCCACAUUCCUUCAGCCUCCACUUUAGAAAUCCAAGAGGCAUAUGCUAUGAGAAAGAUUGUGAGGUUGUCUGUCGGGUGGGAAGAGUUGAGUGAGCUCUCCUAGCCGCUGUAGCUUUCCAUAGGUAGUGUCACCUGGGGUGUCUCUUGAAAGAAAGAUGGUGACUUCCUGAGUGGUUAGGUCAGCUAAGAAUAAAAGUGUCCAAAAGACUACAGAGUACACACACUGGGGCCUGCAAGAUAGAUGUGCGUACUGGUACGGGUGCUGGGUGGGAGUUGAAAAGGGGUAAGAGGGAAGCUGGACAGAUGGUCAGGGCCUUCAUGAUUCAGAAUAACCAUGCUGAGGAAUUUGUAUUUGUACCUGAAUGGGCAUUUUUAUUUUUUUAGCCUUUUAGGAUGAACAGAUAUGCUUUGAGGGGAAAAAAAAAGCAAUGGGUGGUGGUUGGUUUUUUUUUUCCUCCUACAAGUAAACAGAAAAUGUAGCACAGGAUUUCAAAGGGUUUCUCUGCUUUGUGAUGCCUCAGCUCAAAACCUGCAAGAAGGGAAAACCUCCAGAAGAUGUCUGAUAGAUGUGACAAUUGGUCACAUAGGCCUUGUGAGGAUCUGGGAGGCUUAGAGAUGGGAUGUAAAAGGAUUGUGAGCUAAGAUAGAACCUGCUAGAACCACCUGCCAUGUACCCAAGAGAAGUCAUUAGCUGUUUGAGGUCAAGGGAUGCACAGUCUUGUCUUUGGGUGAGUAAGAAGGUGUGGACCUCGGGGUAAACACAUUUUUUACACUAUGGGGGAACCUUUCCCAGGGAGGUUGGUGUAAAGUCUGGAUCUCUGAAGUCACUAAAAUAUAAGUGGUAGCUAAAGCCAUGGGGGAGGCUAAGAGGACCGGGAGGCUGUCUAGUUAGCCAGAACUCCAAGGAACACUCACACUUAGUGCAAGUCUAGAGCAGGAGGAGGCUUUAAAGGACAAGGCUAAGUAAAGAAAUAGUGUCCUUAGUGUAUGGCUGUAGUCCUCCAUGGCUCUAAUCCUUGGUGCAUGGCUAUAGUUCUGUAGGCCAUCCGUCCUGCUACCUGAAAAUAAAGAGAAACCUGCUGCUUCCUUCAUAAGACCAAAAAGAGCCAGGCAUGAUGCUUAGUGCCUGUAAUCCACUCGGGAGGCUGAGGCAAGAGGACUACUGUGAUCUCAAGACCAGCAUGCAAUACAGACUAUGACUGUCUCAAAAACAAUGGGACUGGAAAGACUUCCACUCUUAGUGGAAAAGAAAGCAUAAGAGUUGCAUGUACUUUUCCCAUUUUCACAGUAAAUGCUAAGUCAACAGUUACCAGGUAAAUGAUUGGCUUAAUAUAUCUAGAGAACUAAAAAUAACACUCAUAUCAAGGUAAAUAAAAUGUUCUUUAUAACCUGGUAUCUUUUACAGUUUGCCUUAAGCUUCUAUUAUUUAUGUAUCUUUGAUGUUAGAUUAAAUAUGCUUCUCUUUUAGAGAUAAAAAUAGUGGCUGGGCUAUUUUAAUAAUUAAUAUUCUCCUAAAGGCAACUCAGAAUACUUUUCUAGUUGCAUAAUUAUAUUUACGAGUCAAAAGCCCUAUACAUUCAUGCUACACACAUUUUAAAAUAAGUACAUUGCAGGGUGGAGAGAUGGCUCAGCUGUUAAGAGCACGUAUAGAUCUUCCGAAAGACUGGAGUUUGCCUCUCAGCACCCAUGCUGGGAAAAUUGCCUGUGACUCUGAUUCCAGGGACACCUGGUACCUCUGGCCACUGUGGCACCUGCACGCACAUAUGUGCACACUCGAAUCACACACACACACAAAUACAAAUAAUUAAAACUAACAAAAAUCUUUAAAAAAUAAAAACACCCAUAUAGUGAGAAAACAUGAGUCUUUUGUAGAUCACUUGAUGAUUUUUUUUUGAAGUAGCUUCUUAAAAAAUACUUUUUAAAGUUUCUUAUACAGCAGUGAUUUUUUUUUAAUGGACACAGCAUUAGCAUUACAUUAACAUACUUUGUUAUCAGGCCCCAAACCUUCUGACUUCUCUGUGAUGUCACAGCUGCCAUGGAGGCAGCCCAGAGGAACUGAAGUAAACACUUUCAGAUGACAUAAUGCAGCCCUGAAGGAGGAACAACCUCAACCAAACUCUACCCUAUAGAUUUGCACAUGCAGUUUUUCCAUAUGCCGGAAUGCUUGCAACCUUGGUGUGAUGGCUAGUCUUGGUUGUCAACUUAACUACACCUGGAAUUAACUAAAACCCAAAUGGCUGGGAACACCUGUGAGGGAUUUUUUUUUCUUAAUUAAAUCAUUUGAGGUGAGAAGACCCACUUCUAAUCUGGAUCUUUGAGAUAGAAAGAUAUACAUCUAAUCCAGAUAUUCUGAGGUGAGAUCUACCUUUAAUCUGGGCCACACCUUCUACUGGCAGCCUAUAAAGAGAACCUGAAAAACAGAAGCGUGUUCUUGCUCUCCUAGCAAGUCAGUUCCUUCACUGGCAUCAGACCAGCUGAGGCAUUUAGUCUUGUGGGCUGAACAGCUACUGGAUUUGUGGAUCUUCCAUUGGUAAACAGCCAUUGUUGACCGAGGUGGACCACAGCCUAUAAGCCACUCUAUAUAUACACAUACCAUUCUGAAGUUCUGUUCCUCUAGAGAACAUUGACUGAUAAGAUUUUUUAGUACCAGAAGUGAGUCUAGAGCAUCAGAAGUAUACAGAUGAAUUUUUUUUUUUUUUUAAGUAUCUGGAUUUAGGCUUUCUAAUUUGCCGACGAAUUACUGCAGCCUCUCCUGGAAACUCCGAGAUUACUGAAAGCCUGUGGUGUGAACUAUUUUACAAGCUUAAGGGGACAAAUGGAUUGGAUUAUCUUGAUUCACCAGUUGUGAGAAGCAACAGAUAUGGUGAGUCUGUACAUAAAACUGGACAAAUGAGGACGCGGGUUGGUUGUUCCUAGCAUCUCUGGAUAAAUC